rnacentral:tRNA from 1 species
UGUGGUUCAGUGGUAGAACGCACAUCUGGCAGGUGUGAGGCACUGGGUUCAAUUCUCAGCA